GGGCGUUUGGCGCAGUGGUAGCGCGUAUGCUUUGCAAGUUGUGGUGAUGUGGUCUUCGCUCUAAUCGCUAUGACGUCAUUGCAUAAGGUCAAGGGUUCAAGCCCCUUAACGUCCA